UACAGAUAGUCCAUAUGAAGUCCUCAGACUGAUCAGCUCUUUAUGAGAGUGCUAGCUCACGUAGUCAUCUUCUGAUAGCAAAUUUGAUCUCUUCUUUUGAUCACCUUUAACCUUUUCAAUGUCAAAGAUAGAUUAGAGAGAAUACUGGAUGGUAGAAAAAAAUCUGAUGAAGACUCUCUUCUCUUUGAUUUUUCUCUCAUCCAAAAUCCUAGAAUAGUUCUAGGUCGCUCACUCGAGAAGAAGAUCGAUCUCCUCUUUUGUUCACACCAAGGAAGAAGGAAAUCCACCC
rnacentral:lncRNA from 1 species